CCGCCACUGUGUGAACACCAUCCCCCUCCUCUUCCCCUCACCGCAGGCACCUCUUCAGAGAGGAAGGCGGGCUCGCCCAUGGCCGCGUUAGCACAGGGUCCGAUGUUGAGGAUGCUGUCACACACCUGCAGGCACAGCAGUGGCCCCAGGCACCUACCUUCUCAGCGGCCUCGCGGACAGCACUGGCUGGGGGCUCCUGCAGCUUCUCCGUGUACUUGAGGAGGAGGGAGUUGCCCAGGCGAGAGCCAAGGAACAGGAGAUGAAGGCCGCCUGGGCACAGUCGAGAGUGAUCCGCACGCCCUCCUGGGUGCCUGGGCAGGACAGUCAGAGGGACUCAGUAAGUGCCCCCAUCCCUGCCCCCCAGACCCACCCCUCAGCCCUGCCCCCACCCACACUCA